rnacentral:sRNA from 1 species
GGCUCACGCCAAAUCCUUCUUCAUACUCGCUCUUUUGUAUAAAUCCUCUUUU